UACGGAGGAUGCGAGCGUUAUCCGGAUUUAUUGGGUUUAAAGGGUGCGUAGGCGGGAUGCCAAGUCAGCGGUAAAAAUGCGGUGCUCAACGCCGUCGAGCCGUUGAAACUGGCGUUCUUGAGUGGGCGAGAAGUAUGCGGAAUGCGUGGUGUAGCGGUGAAAUGCAUAGAUAUCACGCAGAACUCCGAUUGCGAAGGCAGCAUACCGGCGCCUACUGACGCUGAGGCACGAAAGCGUGGGUAUCGAACAGG
rnacentral:rRNA from 1 species